GCUCUCGAAAUCGACAGCAGAAGUCAGCAAUGCAGAGCAGCUCGAAAUGCUGAAGCAAACCUGAAUGACACUCGCUGAAAGUUGAGUGUGAAUAGAUACUGAUGUCAUUGCACUGCAAACAAUGAAGAGCAGCUUGAAGUGUUCUCAUUUACUUAAAGUCAAUUUCGGUUCCCAAAAAUCUGUAUAACGCUGACAGCAAAGUCGAAGAAAUUGUUAUUGUGUUGUCGACGUCGUCGUUGUUGUCAUUAUCAGCAGUCACAGCAACAGCAACAACAACAACAGCAACAACAAUAAAAUGAACUACAAGCUAAAAACAAAGUCAAUGCUGAAGACGCUUCAGCGAUUUUCACAUUAGAUUAAAUACUCUUUCGACUUUUCGUUUUUUGAGGUCAAACUGAAGAAAACGCCCCAACAGCAGCAACAUUUUUGUUGCUAAUACAAUAAUUGUCGUUGUUGUUUUUGUUGUUGCCAAGCAGAAGCGCUGCGGAAGCGGAUGCAAAAAAAAAAAAAA